rnacentral:rRNA from 1 species
UACGUAGGCAGCAAGCGUUGUUCGGAAUUACUGGGCGUAAAGGAGUGAUGUAGGCGGUGGUUCUAAGUCUGUUGUGAAAUCUCCCGGACUUAACGUGGGAGGGUGCGGCGGAAACUGGAAUGCUAGAGGAUGGGAGAGGUAAGCGGAAUUCCUGGUGGUGAGCGGUGAAAUGCGUAGAUAUACUGGAGGAACACCAGUGGCGAAGGCGGCUUCCUGGCCUGUAACUGACGCUGAGACGCGAAAGCGUGGGGAGCGAACCGG